rnacentral:tRNA from 1 species
GGGAAUGUGGCUUAGUGGAAGAGUGCUUGUCUAGCAUGCAUGAAGCCCUGGGUUCGAUUCCUCAGUACCA